rnacentral:lncRNA from 1 species
ACAGAAGUGGUUGGGCGUCGUGAGGAACGCAUCGGCGGCAGAACACUCAAGCGGCUGGUUGUUGAGAGCACGCCAGCUGAAGAGCACCCCUGCACACUGGCAGGCCAUCCACAGGUGGGACGAGGCAGAAUUUACUGGGGCUAUUGGAGGAGAGCUGGGGCCAUCUAGCGGCCCAGCUUCUGGGGACAACCAUCUCCCUUCUGGCUCCCCCAUUAGCGGAGAGCCUUGCACUCAUUCUCCAAGCCCACAUGUGACCUGAUUCUUCAGGUACACUAAGGCAAGAAACCCCAGGAUACAGAAAUCCGUCUGUCCUUGUAAUAAGGAAGGGGGUUUAAUUGAGCUGGUUAAUACAGGCCGCCUAUAGAUGGCAAACUAAGAGAGCACCCUGUAACAUACACCCACUGGGGCUUCAGGAGCUGUAAACAUUCACCCCUAGACACUGCCGUGGGGUUGGAGCCCCACAGCCUGCCUGCCUGUAUGCUCCCCUAGAGGUUUGAGGAGCAGGGCACUGAAGGAGUGAGUCACACCUCCAUUGGACGUCCUGCUAGGGGGACAAGGAAACCUUUCUCAUUUCAGUAUGUUGUUUUAACAUCCCAUUUGUUUCAAAAAUGUCAUUGAAUUUUACAAAGUCUAUUGUAUCUACAAUGAAGAUUUUCCUAUACAUAUUAAUGAAGUAAUAUACAUUAUUUACUUUACAUAUUGUUAUUAAUAGAAGCAAUAGUAUUUCAAUACAAACUAUGAAAAGGUGUAUACCUCUGAAUUUAUUUUUGUUUUGGUAGGUGUCAGAAACUCAGCUCAGCUGGAAGAAACUUGAUGUACCAGGUAUCAGAGUAGCAAGUAAAGCCACAAGCCAAAAAUGAAAGAGAAUCUUUUAAGUGCUUAUCGUGAUGGUGUAAGUAAUUGUCCAAAAGAAACGCCGAUUCCUUCUGUUCCAUUUUUACCUGUGGAUUGUGGAUUGAAAUAACCAUUGGACCAUGAGGAGAGACUCUGAAGAGAGGCUAGUGAUAUGUGAUAUAAUACUCUUUUGUGACGUUGGACCAUGGCAGUGAGCCGCAGCUCCCAGUCAGCAAUGCGAUCCCAAGAAUAAACAACCGAUUCUUGACAGUGUCCUAUGUUGCCAGUCGAUUUUGUUCAACAGUAGGUACAUAUGUGACAACUUUGAUUCCAACCACGUGUUUUAUAUUACAUCUACUACUGUGCUUCCUCCUCCUCAGAGGUUACUCAUCAAAAUUGAUUAAUCUUU